UAAUACGUAGGGUGCGAGCGUUAAUCGGAAUUACUGGGCGUAAAGAGUGCGUAGGCGGUUCUCCAAGUCCGUUGUGAAAGCCCCGGGCUCAACCUGGGAAUGGCAGUGGAAACUAGGGGACUUGAAUCUGGCAGAGGGGGGUGGAAUUCCACGUGUAGCAGUGAAAUGCGUAGAGAUGUGGAGGAACACCGAUGGCGAAGGCAGCCCCCUGGGCUGAGAUUGACGCUCAGGCACGAAAGCGUGGGGAGCAAACAGGAUUAGAUACCCUGGUAGUCCACGCCCUAAACGAUGUCAACUAGGUGUUGGGGAAGCGAUUUCCUAGUACCGCAGCUAACGCGUGAAGUUGACCGCCUGGGGAGUACGGUCGCAAGAUUA
rnacentral:rRNA from 1 species